rnacentral:rRNA from 1 species
CAGAUGAACGCUAGCGCAGCCUAAUACAUGCAAGUCGUACGGAUUUCAUCUUCGAAUGGAUGAGAGUGGCGCACGGGUGCGUAACGCGUAUGCAACCUACCUGUUACAGGGAGAUAGCCCGGGGAAACUCGGAUUAAUAUCCCAUAGUAUUAUUUUACUGCAUGGUAGAAUGAUUAAAGCCUUCGGGUGGUAACAGACGGGCAUGCGUAGGAUUAGCUAGUUGGUGAGGUAACGGCUCACCAAGGCGACGAUCCUUAGGGGUUCUGAGAGGAAGGUCCCCCACACUGGCACUGAGAUACGGGCCAGACUCCUACGGGAGGCAGCAGUAGGGAAUAUUGGUCAAUGGGCGAGAGCCUGAACCAGCCAUGCCGCGUGCAGGAAGACGGCGUUCUGCGUUGUAAACUGCUUUUAUCUGGGAAGAAAAAGCCCUUGCGAGGGAAAUUGCCGGUACCAGAGGAAUAAGCACCGGCUAACUCCGUGCCAGCAGCCGCGGUAAUACGGAGGGUGCAAGCGUUGUCCGGAUUUAUUGGGUUUAAAGGGUGCGUAGGCGGCCAAUUAAGUCAGUGGUGAAAGUUUCCGGCUCAACCGGGAGACUGCNAUUGAUACUGAUUGGCUUGAGUUAUGGAGGGGUACAUGGAAUUUACGGUGUAGCGGUGAAAUGCAUAGAUACCGUAAGGAACACCGAUAGCNAAGGCAUUGUACUGGCCAUAAACUGACGCUGAGGCACGAAAGCGUGGGUAGCGAACAGGAUUAGAUACCCUGGUAGUCCACGCCGUAAACGAUAGAUCACUCGCUUUAAAG